rnacentral:tRNA from 1 species
GCGGGCGUAGCACAGUGGUAGUGCUCUAGCCUUCCAAGCUAGCUACGCGGGUUCGAUUCCCGCCGCCCGCUCCA